rnacentral:rRNA from 1 species
GAUGAACGCUAGCGGCAGGCUUAACACAUGCAAGUCGAGGGGUAUGCUUCUUCGGGAGCAGAGACCGGCGCACGGGUGCGUAACGCGUAUGCAAUCUGCCUUUUACAGGGGGAUAGCCCAGAGAAAUUUGGAUUAAUACCCCAUGGUAUUAUAGGGUGGCAUCACCUUAUAAUUAAAGUCACAGCGGUAAAAGAUGAGCAUGCGUCCCAUUAGCUUGUUGGUAGGGUAACGGCCUACCAAGGCAAAGAUGGGUAGGGGUCCUGAGAGGGGGGUCCCCCACACUGGUACUUAGACACGGACCAGACUCCUACGGGAGGCAGCAGUGAGGAAUAUUGGUCAAUGGGCGCAAGCCUGAACCAGCCAUGCCGCGUGCAGGAUGACGGUCCUAUGGAUUGUAAACUGCUUUUGUACGGGAAGAAACACUCCUACGUGUAGGAGCUUGACGGUACCGUAAGAAUAAGGAUCGGCUAACUCCGUGCCAGCCGCCGCAGUAAUAC